rnacentral:tRNA from 1 species
GGAUGCGUAGCUCAGCGGCAGAGCACCGCCCUCAUAAGGCGGGGCGCACUGGUUCAAGUCCAGUCGCAUCUACCA